GCGCGCAAACUUUCCAAUGCACGAAAGUGUGAGAAGGGAAUUCCGAGUGCUCAAGCAUUGCUUGGGCUUUUGUCAAGUGCAAAUAGCUUGGCGAAUAAGGGGUGGGUAAGACUGGUGCCAGCCGCCGCGGUAACCCCAGCGCCCCAAGUGGGAAUCACGAUUAUUGGGUCUAAAGCGUUCGUAGCAGGCCUUGUAAAUCUCUUGUGAAAUCGGCAAGCUUAACUUGUCGGCGUGCAGGAGACACUGUAGGGCUCGAGAUCGGGAGAGGUUAGAAGUAUUCCUUGGGUACCGGUAAAAUGGGUUAAUCCAGGGAGGACUACCAAUGGCGAAGGCAUCUGACCAGAACGAUUCUGACUGUGAGGAACGAAAGCUAGGGGAGCAAAACGG
rnacentral:rRNA from 1 species